rnacentral:rRNA from 1 species
GAUGAACGCUGGCGGCGUGCCUAAUACAUGCAAGUCGAGCGAACGGACGAGAAGCUUGCUUCUCUGAUGUUAGCGGCGGACGGGUGAGUAACACGUGGAUAACCUACCUAUAAGACUGUGAUAACUUCGGGAAACCGUAGCUAAUACCGGAUAAUAUUUUGAACCGCAUGGUUAAAAAGUGAACGACGGUCUUGCUGUCACUUAUAGAUGGAUCCGCGCUGCAUUAGCUAGUUGGUAAGGUAACGGCUUACCAAGGCAACGAUGCAUAGCCGACCUGAGAGGGUGAUCGGCCACACUGGAACUGAGACACGGUCCAGACUCCUACGGGAGGCAGCAGUAGGGAAUCUUCCGCAAUGGGCGAAAGCCUGACGGAGCAACGCCGCGUGAGUGAUGAAGGUCUUCGGAUCGUAAAACUCUGUUAUUAGGGAAGAACAUAUGUGUAAGUAACUGUGCACAUCUUGACGGUACCUAAUCAGAAAGCCACGGCUAACUACGUG